rnacentral:rRNA from 1 species
GACGAACGCUGGCGGCGUGCUUAACACAUGCAGGUCGAACGGAAAGGCCCCCUUGUGGGGUACUCGAGUGGCGAACGGGUGAGUAACACGUGAGUAACCUACCCUUUACUUUGGGAUAACUUCAGGAAACUGGGGCUAAUACCGGAUAGGAGCUCCUGCUGCAUGGUGGGGGUUGGAAAGUUUCGGCGGUUGGGGAUGGACUCGCGGCUUAUCAGCUUGUUGGUGGGGUAGUGGCUCACCAAGGCUUUGACGGGUAGCCGGCCUGAGAGGGUGACCGGCCACAUUGGGACUGAGAUGCGGCCCAGAAUCCUACGGGAGGCAGCAGUGGGGAAUAGUGCAAAAUGGGGGGAAGGCUGAUGCAGCAACGCCGCGUGCGGGAUGACGGCCUUCGGGUUGUAAACCGGUUUCGCCUGUGACGAAGCGUGGGUGACGGUAAUGGGUAAAGAAGCACCGGCUAACUACGUG